rnacentral:rRNA from 1 species
AUUGAACGCUGGCGGCAGGCUUAACACAUGCAAGUCGAGCGGUAGCACAGGGGAGCUUGCUCCCUGGGUGACGAGCGGCGGACGGGUGAGUAAUGUCUGGGAAACUGCCUGAUGGAGGGGGAUAACUACUGGAAACGGUAGCUAAUACCGCAUAACGUCGCAAGACCAAAGAGGGGGACCUUCGGGCCUCUUGCCAUCAGAUGUGCCCAGAUGGGAUUAGCUAGUAGGUGGGGUAAUGGCUCACCUAGGCGACGAUCCCUAGCUGGUCUGAGAGGAUGACCAGCCACACUGGAACUGAGACACGGUCCAGACUCCUACGGGAGGCAGCAGUGGGGAAUAUUGCACAAUGGGCGCAAGCCUGAUGCAGCCAUGCCGCGUGUGUGAAGAAGGCCUUCGGGUUGUAAAGCACUUUCAGCGAGGAGGAAGGUGGUGAGCUUAAUACGCUCAUCAAUUGACGUUACUCGCUGAAGAAGCACCGGCUAACUCCGUGCCAGCAGCCGCGGUAAUACGGAGGGUGCAAGCGUUAAUCGGAAUUACUGGGCGUAAAGCGCACGCAGGCGGUUUGUUAAGUCAGAUGUGAAAUCCCCGGGCUCAACCUGGGAACUGCAUUUGAAACUGGCAAGCUAGAGUCUCGUAGAGGGGGGUAGAAUUCCAGGUGUAGCGGUGAAAUGCGUAGAGAUCUGGAGGAAUACCGGUGGCGAAGGCGGCCCCCUGGACGAAGACUGACGCUCAGGUGCGAAAGCGUGGGGAGCAAACAGG